rnacentral:rRNA from 1 species
UGCCUCUAAUACUGUUGGACUAGAGAAUAGUUGCGGUAGGCGGAAUGUAUGGUGUAGCGGUGAAAUGCAUAGAGAUCAUACAGAACACCGAUUGCGAAGGCAGCUUACCAAACUACGACUGACGUUGAGGCACGAAAGCGUGGGGAGCAAA